rnacentral:rRNA from 1 species
GCUGCGGCAGCGACACUGUGUGUUGUUGGGUAGGGGAGCGUUCUGUAAGCCUGUGAAGGUGUACUGUAAGGUAUGCUGGAGGUAUCAGAAGUGCGAAUGCUGACAUAAGUAACGAUAAAGCGGGUGAAAAGCCCGCUCGCCGGAAGACCAAGGGUUCCUGUCCAACGUUAAUCGGGGCAGGGUGAGUCGACCCCUAAGGCGAGGCCGAAAGGCGUAGUCGAUGGGAAACAGGUUAAUAUUCCUGUACUUGGUGUUACUGCGAAGGGGGGACGGAGAAGGCUAUGUUGGCCGGGCGACGGUUGUCCCGGUUUAAGCGUGUAGGCUGGUUUUCCAGGCAAAUCCGGAAAAUCAAGGCUGAGGCGUGAUGACGAGGCACUACGGUGCUGAAGCAACAAAUGCCCUGCUUCCAGGAAAAGCCUCUAAGCAUCAGGUAACAUCAAAUCGUACCCCAAACCGACACAGGUGGUCAGGUAGAGAAUACCAAGGCGUUUGAGAGAACUCGGGUGAAGGAACUAGGCAAAAUGGUGCCGUAACUUCGGGAGAAGGCACGCUGAUAUGUAGGUGAAGUCCCUCGCGGAUGGAGCUGAAAUCAGUCGAAGAUACCAGCUGGCUGCAACUGUUUAUUAAAAACACAGCACUGUGCAAACACGAAAGUGGACGUAUACGGUGUGACGCCUGCCCGGUGCCGGAAGGUUAAUUGAUGGGGUCAGCGCAAGCGAAGCUCUUGAUCGAAGCCCCGGUAAACGGCGGCCGUAACUAUAACGGUCCUAAGGUAGCGAAAUUCCUUGUCGGGUAAGUUCCGACCUGCACGAAUGGCGUAAUGAUGGCCAGGCUGUCUCCACCCGAGACUCAGUGAAAUUGAACUCGCUGUGAAGAUGCAGUGUACCCGCGGCAAGACGGAAAGACCCCGUGAACCUUUACUAUAGCUUGACACUGAACAUUGAGCCUUGAUGUGUAGGAUAGGUGGGAGGCUUUGAAGUGUGGACGCCAGUCUGCAUGGAGCCGACCUUGAAAUACCACCCUUUAAUGUUUGAUGUUCUAACGUGGACCCGUGAUCCGGGUUGCGGACAGUGUCUGGUGGGUAGUUUGACUGGGGCGGUCUCCUCCUAAAGAGUAACGGAGGAGCACGAAGGUUGGCUAAUCCUGGUCGGACAUCAGGAGGUUAGUGCAAUGGCAUAAGCCAGCUUGACUGCGAGCGUGACGGCGCGAGCAGGUGCGAAAGCAGGUCAUAGUGAUCCGGUGGUUCUGAAUGGAAGGGCCAUCGCUCAACGGAUAAAAGGUACUCCGGGGAUAACAGGCUGAUACCGCCCAAGAGUUCAUAUCGACGGCGGUGUUUGGCACCUCGAUGUCGGCUCAUCACAUCCUGGGGCUGAAGUAGGUCCCAAGGGUAUGGCUGUUCGCCAUUUAAAGUGGUACGCGAGCUGGGUUUAGAACGUCGUGAGACAGUUCGGUCCCUAUCUGCCGUGGGCGCUGGAGAACUGAGGGGGGCUGCUCCUAGUACGAGAGGACCGGAGUGGACGCAUCACUGGUGUUCGGGUUGUCAUGCCAAUGGCACUGCCCGGUAGCUAAAUGCGGAAGAGAUAAGUGCUGAAAGCAUCUAAGCACGAAACUUGCCCCGAGAUGAGUUCUCCCUGACCCUUUAAGGGUCCUGAAGGAACGUUGAAGACGACGACGUUGAUAGGCCGGGUGUGUAAGCGCAGCGAUGCGUUGAGCUAACCGGUACUAAUGAACCGUGAGGCUUAACCUU